CCUACGGGAGGCAGCAGUGGGGAAUAUUGCACAAUGGGGGAAACCCUGAUGCAGCGACGCCGCGUGGGUGAGGAAGUUUUUCGGUUUGUAAAGCUCUAUCAGCAGGGAAGAAAAUGCGGGUACCUGACUAAGAAGCCCCGGCUAACUACGUGCCAGCAGCCGCGGUAAUACGUAGGGGGCAAGCGUUAGCCGGAUUUACUGGGGGGAAAGGGAGCGUAGACGGUUAAUCAAGUCAGAAGUGAAAACCCAGGGCUCAACCUUGGGACUGCGUUGGAAACUGAGUAGCUAGAGUGCAGGAGAGGUAAGCGGAAUUCCUAGGGUAGCGGUGAAAUGCGUAGAUAUUAGGAGGAACACCAGUGGCGAAGGCGGCUUACUGGACUGUAACUGACGUUGAGGCUCGAAAGCGUGGGGAGCAAACAGGAUUAGAUACCCUGGUAGUC
rnacentral:rRNA from 1 species